rnacentral:misc_RNA from 1 species
GGCAAGGUUAUACAAUGGAAUGGGUAUCGUGUCUUUGGCGUUCUUGCAAUGUCAAGGUCAAUUGGUACGUGUUCUACACCAUUAUCCUGGUUUUCUUAUUUUCAAAUUUAACCACAGCAUCAUCAACAUCUGUCACCAGGAUUCUCUUAUUUGCAAGUUACUGUCUUGUUCAGAAUGAGUACAUUCAAUUUGCAUGGACUUGCCUUGAGGUGUUGUCCAAUGAACAUUGUGUCAUGUCUUUCCCCCUUAAUAUUGUUACUUUGAAAUUUUUGUGGUGUGCAGAGAUAACAAUUCUGCAUUCCACUUGGAGUCUCUGAGAUGAUUCUACAUUGACUGCCUGUGGUCAUAAACUUUUAAUGUUGGCUUUAGACAAGAGAGUAGGACCUCCAGAGAAUAUACCUGAAACUUAAAAGAUUCUUUCUUUGGCUGUGUCAUCAAAGAUGAGUAAACAGAAAAAAUCAAUGUGUAUACUGCAAAGAUAAGUAAUACCGCCAUUAUUGCUUGCUUAUAAAAUUUUGCAGGAUGAGAUAAAGUAUAUUUAUUUCUCAUAGUUUGACCUUGAGAUGCUGAUACCACAACCUGUGUGAGCAAUGAAUUCAAUAUUUUAAUUGGAUUAAAUUCAUUUUGACCCUGCCUCACCCAAAAAUGACUAGUUGAUGGGGAAAUCAAUUGUAUGCUAGAUCUCAAGUGUUUGUGCAAGAUACUGAUACUUGUAUGAUAUGAAAUUUUUACGCAUCUAGUGAAAGAGUUGAAUUAUUAAUGGUAUCCUAUAUCUGUUUCAACUGUAAUUGCAAAAUAUUCAUGGACCAGUGCUCAUUUAGUGAAACAAUUUUAUCCCUUUCAAAAUGUGAUGGGGAAUCUACUUUUCUUCUCAUCAAGUGACACGGAACUUAUUGUGUCAUUCCUUUCUUUGUAAACAACCCAUCGGAAGGGACAUGUUAUUUGUGUGUUGAAUUUUUGAAAACGAUUUCCUUUGCAAUGCGUGUGUUUGAGGAAUAAAUAUAUACAAAAGACAAUCAGACGAGCUUCAUUGUGCAGGUAAUGUGUUUUUGUAGUUUUGUCAUCUCAUAUCACUGCAUUGGUUCACAUGUUUGUUUGUGUAGUAUUUGACUCUGUAGUAUUGACCAUGUACAUGUAAAUUUUUUAGGAUUUGAUUAUGAUUGACCAUGUACAUGUAAAUUUGUUAGGAUUUGAUUAUGAUUAGUGAAGUGGUAACUUUGAAACUCACCUUACCUGGAUGCAGGUGAUAGAUAUUUAAAACCAUGG